rnacentral:lncRNA from 1 species
AAGUGUUCCAGAGUCAGGUGGCGCAGCUGUAUUCGCAGCUGGAAGACAGGAUCAGUGAGAGGACUGAGGAUCCCGUUUAGAGGCUGAGACUUGGGAAGGAAAAGUCACUAAAAUAAAAGAAAGAAGUGCAGACAGGCGAGGGACUUCGUAACCCCCGAUCGUUGGCGUGAACCGGUGUGGAGUGAUGUCCUGAGUGACGUGCCGCAUGUGCUAAGGGAGACGUUGUCAAGCAGACAUUCUAACUCAAGUGACUGGGAUUUGAAGACACUGAAGGAGCGCCAUUUUGCAAACUUAUAGUCAUUUAUUGUCGUUCUGCCCUGAAGAUUUCUGGCAGAGCUUGGAGUGCAAAUUCCAAAUGCAUUUGUGGAGCUGAACACUGGAAAGUACGUGAAAGGAGUGCGAUAAGAUGCAAUCGGGAAUCACUUCACUUGCUUUUUUCCUAUGAGUCGUCACCUGACUAAUGGGAGGUAACAAACAUACAUUAUAAUAUUUCAGCAUAUAAGUGCCUCUCAGAUUUUACUCUUUCACAACUGUGCCUGUGAUAUAUUCAGCAUAGAUUCUCCUAGGUUCUGUCUUAAGAUCAAUGAAAAGUGACCUCUUUGUCCUAGGAUCAUAAAACAGCUGUCCCUCACAUGAACUUCAUCAGCGACUACUUACUCCAGCUCAACACUCAUUCCAAAUAUUUGUUGAACUUGCUCCCAUUUAUUCCCCACACUCAGACUAAGCUAGUUCCAUAGUAAGUUCUUGGUUCAAAAAUAGUUUUUAAGAAAAUGUACAUAUGGCCUAAAAGCAUAUGAGAAGAUGAUGAACACCAAAUGCAUCAGAGAAUUACAAAUUAAAAUGAGACUCCACUAAAUACUUAUUAGACUGGCUAAAAUCUGAAACACUGAC